UUAAGCGACUAAGCGUACACGGUGGAUGCCCUGGCAGUCAGAGGCGAUGAAGGGCGUGCUAAUCUGCGAUAAGCGCCGGUAAGGUGAUAUGAACCGUUAUAACCGGCGAUACCCGAAUGGGGAAACCCAGUGUGAUUCGUCACACUAUCAUUAACUGAAUCCAUAGGUUAAUGAGGCGAACCGGGGGAACUGAAACAUCUAAGUACCCCGAGGAAAAGAAAUCAACCGAGAUUCCCCCAGUAGCGGCGAGCGAACGGGGAGGAGCCCAGAGCCUGAAUCAGCAUGUGUGUUAGUGGAAGCGUCUGGAAAGGCGCGCGAUACAGGGUGACAGCCCCGUACACAAAAGCGCAUGUGCUGUGAGCUCGAUGAGUAGGGCGGGACACGUGGUAUCCUGUCUGAAUAUGGGGGGACCAUCCUCCAAGGCUAAAUACUCCUGACUGACCGAUAGUGAACCAGUACCGUGAGGGAAAGGCGAAAAGAACCCCGGCGAGGGGAGUGAAAAAGAACCUGAAACCGUGUACGUACAAGCAGUGGGAGCACAGGUUUACCUGUGUGACUGCGUACCUUUUGUAUAAUGGGUCAGCGACUUAUAUUCUGUAGCAAGGUUAACCGAAUAGGGGAGCCGGAGGGAAACCGAGUCUUAACCGGGCGUUAAGUUGCAGGGUAUAGACCCGAAACCCGGUGAUCUAGCCAUGGGCAGGUUGAAGGUUGGGUAACACUAACUGGAGGACCGAACCGACUAAUGUUGAAAAAUUAGCGGAUGACCUGUGGCUGGGGGUGAAAGGCCAAUCAAACCGGGAGAUAGCUGGUUCUCCCCGAAAGCUAUUUAGGUAGCGCCUCGUGAAUUCAUCUCCGGGGGUAGAGCACUGUUUCGGCUAGGGGGCCAUCCCGGCUUACCAACCCGAUGCAAACUGCGAAUACCGGAGAAUGUUAUCACGGGAGACACACGGCGGGUGCUAACGUCCGUCGUGAAGAGGGAAACAACCCAGACCGCCAGCUAAGGUCCCAAAGUCAUGGUUAAGUGGGAAACGAUGUGGGAAGGCCCAGACAGCCAGGAUGUUGGCUUAGAAGCAGCCAUCAUUUAAAGAAAGCGUAAUAGCUCACUGGUCGAGUCGGCCUGCGCGGAAGAUGUAACGGGGCUAAACCAUGCACCGAAGCUGCGGCAGCGACGCUGAUGCGUUGUUGGGUAGGGGAGCGUUCUGUAAGCCUGCGAAGGUGGCCUGUGAGGGUUGCUGGAGGUAUCAGAAGUGCGAAUGCUGACAUAAGUAACGAUAAAGCGGGUGAAAAGCCCGCUCGCCGGAAGACCAAGGGUUCCUGUCCAACGUUAAUCGGGGCAGGGUGAGUCGACCCCUAAGGCGAGGCCGAAAGGCGUAGUCGAUGGGAAACGGGUUAAUAUUCCCGUACUUGGUGUUACUGCGAAGGGGGGACGGAGAAGGCUAUGUUGGCCGGGCGACGGUUGUCCCGGUUUAAGCGUGUAGGCUGGUUUUCCAGGCAAAUCCGGAAAAUCAAGGCUGAGGCGUGAUGACGAGGCACUACGGUGCUGAAGCAACAAAUGCCCUGCUUCCAGGAAAAGCCUCUAAGCAUCAGGUAACAUCAAAUCGUACCCCAAACCGACACAGGUGGUCAGGUAGAGAAUACCAAGGCGCUUGAGAGAACUCGGGUGAAGGAACUAGGCAAAAUGGUGCCGUAACUUCGGGAGAAGGCACGCUGACACGUAGGUGAAGUGAUUUACUCAUGGAGCUGAAGUCAGUCGAAGAUACCAGCUGGCUGCAACUGUUUAUUAAAAACACAGCACUGUGCAAACACGAAAGUGGACGUAUACGGUGUGACGCCUGCCCGGUGCCGGAAGGUUAAUUGAUGGGGUCAGCGCAAGCGAAGCUCCUGAUCGAAGCCCCGGUAAACGGCGGCCGUAACUAUAACGGUCCUAAGGUAGCGAAAUUCCUUGUCGGGUAAGUUCCGACCUGCACGAAUGGCGUAAUGAUGGCCAGGCUGUCUCCACCCGAGACUCAGUGAAAUUGAACUCGCUGUGAAGAUGCAGUGUACCCGCGGCAAGACGGAAAGACCCCGUGAACCUUUACUAUAGCUUGACACUGAACAUUGAGCCUUGAUGUGUAGGAUAGGUGGGAGGCUUUGAAGUGUGGACGCCAGUCUGCAUGGAGCCGACCUUGAAAUACCACCCUUUAAUGUUUGAUGUUCUAACGUGGACCCGUUACCCGGGUUGCGGACAGUGUCUGGUGGGUAGUUUGACUGGGGCGGUCUCCUCCUAAAGAGUAACGGAGGAGCACGAAGGUUGGCUAAUCCUGGUCGGACAUCAGGAGGUUAGUGCAAUGGCAUAAGCCAGCUUGACUGCGAGCGUGACGGCGCGAGCAGGUGCGAAAGCAGGUCAUAGUGAUCCGGUGGUUCUGAAUGGAAGGGCCAUCGCUCAACGGAUAAAAGGUACUCCGGGGAUAACAGGCUGAUACCGCCCAAGAGUUCAUAUCGACGGCGGUGUUUGGCACCUCGAUGUCGGCUCAUCACAUCCUGGGGCUGAAGUAGGUCCCAAGGGUAUGGCUGUUCGCCAUUUAAAGUGGUACGCGAGCUGGGUUUAGAACGUCGUGAGACAGUUCGGUCCCUAUCUGCCGUGGGCGCUGGAGAACUGAGGGGGGCUGCUCCUAGUACGAGAGGACCGGAGUGGACGCAUCACUGGUGUUCGGGUUGUCAUGCCAAUGGCACUGCCCGGUAGCUAAAUGCGGAAGAGAUAAGUGCUGAAAGCAUCUAAGCACGAAACUUGCCCCGAGAUGAGUUCUCCCUGAGACUUAGAGUCUCCUGAAGGAACGUUGAAGACGACGACGUUGAUAGGCCGGGUGUGUAAGCGCAGCGAUGCGUUGAGCUAACCGGUACUAAUGAACCGUGAGGCUUAACCUU
rnacentral:rRNA from 1 species